rnacentral:lncRNA from 1 species
CUAGGUCGUGUGGCGGAGGUGAGGAAGGAGAAUCGGCGGGGGCUGCAGUUAUGGGGGGCGGCGUCGGGCGCUCAGGGGCCCGCGGGCUCCGGGAACAUCUCUAGGCGCUGCCCGGGACCUGUGCCUGUUGCCCUGCGGCCCAGAGGGGCCGCCAUCUCCGGUCGGGACUGGGAGUGGGGUAACUCCCGGACCCGCAACUCCGGGGCCCUGGCCCCGAACUUGGCUGCCGUCCGGACUCCGGGGCUUGAGACCGAUGGACACACAGAUAGACGGACACUGGGCUGCGGCUGUCCAAGUCCGGGGUGGAUCGGGUUGGCCAGCUCUGGAGAAGACUGACAGCUCGGCCCCCGGGGGCGGGGCGGGGCCGGCCCGACUCGUUAAAGGGAAAGAGCUGCCUGUUUGCGCCGAGGUUUCAGGCUCGGCUAGCUUCGAGUCAGGAUCUCGUUGCGCCUGGACAUGCACUGGUGUUGCUGGAGGCCUCCGGGGAAGGAGAGACAGCUGGUGGUGGACUAGACCCUGA